AACAUUUCGUUGGGAAGGGAUCGAAGGGGAAAGAGGGGAAGUACAGCCAGAACGAACAGAGGGGAAGGAAAAAGGAGGUGGGAGAGAAACGAAGGAGAGAAACUUGGUGUGGUGGUGUUGUGUGUGACUCAGCUCGGAAUGAGCGAAUAGGCCAACAGCAUAGCAAAAGCUGUGUCCCGUGGCCUGUGUGCACGGGGUAUACACACGUAUACGCGUACAGAGUGAUCGAGAAAUAAGGGUCCGGGUAUGGUCUUCCGGUGAAGCGGUGCGGAUGAUCGAAUGGCGCCGAUGUUUCGGGCACGUGGCACCGGCCCGCCGGAUUUUUGUCAAACUGUUCUCUAGAUCGUUCUUCUCUCUGGUCUUUUUAUCCUUCUCCUUUUUUAUAUUUCGUCGAUGUCGUGUUUCGUCGACCAGAAAAAUUGGAUGCACCGCAUAAAGAUCUCUAUAUAUUCGAAACUAAGCAGGGAGGAGGUGUUUAUUUUAGAGAUACUUCGAGAGCGUUGUAUUUUUGCACGAGGAUUUUCCACGGUUCAGAAUACAGGCGCCUUCAGAGGAGAAGCAAAAAAUUGGAAACGAAACAAUCAUUUUUUAAAUUGAAAUGGGAUUUGUGUCGUAUUAGUAGAACGGUAUUAAUAACGCGGACGAUUUACGUGGUACCGAUGAUUUCACGUGCACCGAACCAUAAUACGUUGCCGCUUCAACGAUUCCAUCCGUACCUCGUGGGAAUGCGUUACCACGGUUUAUUUAACGACGCCCGCUCCGCGCGUUUAUGUUCUCAAUAAAAUGUCGAUCGCGUGAUUGAACCGGAGCCGUUCGGUUCUCCAUGAAACGUUUUACCGAUCGUACGAGCUACUUUAAAAUUACCCGUAUAAUACCUCCGACAAUCUUCGUCUAUUAGGUUUAUACAUACAUAUAUUUUGUACGUUAAAUGAUAAAAUCCUCGAUCGAGGGAAAUCGUCGUCACGAUAAAUAAACAAAUCGAGAAACGGUUCGUACGUUCGGCUUUACUCGCGAUUCGAUUGCAAAUGGUAGACGAACAGUCACCCAGUAUAUUAGAGACUAACUAUACCUGAAUCCAGCAGAGCGUGACUUUUCACGUGUAGUCGUGCUGGAGUGGGGUAUGAUCGUAGCCCGGCGUAGAGUAAGAUAGACUUUGAUAGAAUUUACACGGUGGCUUCGAACAGAGCCAAGAACCUCUGCGAUGCAAAGACCGCGAUGGACACGGAUUGCGACAGGCAAUCCUUCAUUUUUUUCCCCCUCAUAACCCGUGUCCUUCUGUGGACUUGGUCGGUUCGCCUCGCUCAUUUAUCUGGACACUAGCGACUUCGCAUCACUGUUCCCUUUCGUGCACGAUGUUAUUAUUCAGCGUUAAAAGGACUUGCCAUUAAAUGUCCCGAAAGAGAUACGAGAACGGGUAUCCUCCGUUCCGAUCCAUUCUCACCGUGCGAUUCUAUUCGCGCGUUUUAUCAAAUUACCAACACGGUAAUUACCCCCUUGUAAUUACCACUACGUGUAUAGGGAUUAUUCUCCUUGUAUCCUUUCGCGGCGUACAAACGGGGGAAUGAUAAAUACUUCUCGCUAAUUACUCGUCCUUUGAUCAAUCUUGGUCAAGUUGAAUUUAUUCAAUAUAUUCUAUAUGGAACAAAAUCAUCACUAGAAGGUGGGUCAACGACACUUUGCAGAGAUUCCGUUCGGAACGAACAGUCGGCCAGACUGUUACGGUACUCUUUUUUAAUUAUCGCUCGCAUAGUUGCCCAUCGACGGAUGGCUAAACCGAGAUAGCAUGGAACGGACCGCGUUGCAGUUCGUGAUUUUUUCCACCGGCGAUUGUUUUUCGGUGGUUAUUUCCUUGUUUCGCGUGGUUCGGGCAUCGCCGUUUCUAGUUCCUUCGAAGGAGGAUUACCAUGACCGUCGCAGCGCAACUGGUCUAUGCGCAUGGAGAAAUGCAGCUGAUGCGCACCGCUGAAUCUCGAGGUCAGCGACUCGUCGACGGAGUUAGUGGAGCGCUUAGGCUCGCUCCAGGGAUUUUAUGAAUUGGUGCAUGGUCGCUGCGCGAAGAUCGCUGUGUGGAAGGAGGAAGAAGCAUCGAGGAAGAAGACCCAAGAAUUAGAAAUGAAAGAGUUCUAUCGUAUUUAGACCGGCUAGCCUGAAAUCGUCGAAGAAGAAUCGCGAGGGAAACGAUGGCCAGCAUAAACUAUAAAAGUUAUACUUGUGGAAGGAGUCGAUAACAUUUAGCAACAAGAACUUGCUCGUUGGUUUUAUCUUUCCCAAUACUUGGUCAAAGUUUUUCUGGUUAACUAUAUUCUUUCGGUAGCGAAUAUAGCAAAGACUGUUACUAGUUUCGAUAAAGAAGAUACAGUACUCGCUUCAUCGCCAUGUCGUUUUGUACAUUUUUCGUUCUCCUUGGUUCACGAUAGAAGAAGGAUCACAUGGUUCACGUGUUGGAUUCCAUUAUCUUUUUCUUCGUUUGGCAUCUUUCAAGGAUCGGCAUCGUGUACCAUCUCUCGUCAUCGUCAUCGGUAGCAACUUGUAGCGCCAUGAUUGUCCUCCGUGUUCUAUUCUUCGUUCCAUCUCUCUGUCCUCCUCGCUUCAUGGUGUUCCGCUCACGAGCCACGGAGUACGCAGGUGCAUUAACCGGACAUUCAGCACCGUAACGCUGGCCUUAGAGACGGGAAGAUACCAGAGGAACGAGAGACAAGGAGAGACAGAAACGGGCGAGUAAGGACGGAGUGAGAGACGAAGAAAGUAUAUAAGAAAGUAAGGAGAGGGGCACCUAAGUACUAGAGUUUGCUGCUAGAGCAGAUGGCUGGGAUUCGAAUUCCUCGGUCGCCCCGUUCUAAACCGCGAAGGCUUAAACCUUAAAGCUGCCCUCGGACGUCGAGACCGAACCAGCAAACGAUGCAGCUUAUUCGCGCUGGAAUGUCUCUGCUUUCGACUACGGUGCCGCGUACCCGUCUACGACUUCGGUUACCAUUGGAUAUCUCGCAUAUUAGGCUUCAUCGCGCAGCUGACUCUCGUUAUCUUCAUGAAUUAAUGCUUUAGACGUAAUUCGUCUUGCUUUGCAUAACUGGUAACACGAAGACACGGAACUUUUAACGCGACGAUUUAAAGGGUGGAAGUUGCCAGUCGAAAUAAAUACGCGAAUCUUUGUCAUACUUGGCAAGUUACUCUGGAACUCGAGCAAUGAAAUGGGUCAAAUCGGAAUUAUUCCAUGCCGAACGCUGUGUAUUAACGCUUCGUAUACAAUGCACCGUAACCUGUAUUAAGAAUCUGCCGUGUUCGGUCUUUGGAGAAACUCGAAACUCGAGUUGCUAGCGAUAUUGCGUUCCCGAAACGAGAGUACAUUAAUCCGUGACAAUUUGGAACUGUACCAAAACGGCAUGCGUGAUAUCCCAUGCAGGCCUAUGAAGAAGCGUCGAAAGCCUGGCGACACUGGCGGCUCGCCAAUUCGCGGAGCCGCGUCGUACAGCCAAAGGAAAAGCGGCUUGACCCUCAUUGUAGGUUUCAGACAGGUGCUUCGUCUCGUGCAGUUUCUUUGCUGUUGUUGGUUCGCGUCGAUCGAUCGGGCCAUAUGCCGAGUUGCGAAGAAGAAGAGUCGCAGUUGAUGUUAUAAAUAUAAAGUUGGGGGAAUUCGAGACGCAAUAUCGUGUCUGGCCGAGUCUCCUUGUGGCCUAUAGUCUCCAUAGUAUCGUUCCUCGUACGAAGAGACUGCUCCGUAGUCGCUUUUCACGAGAAACUGGUUUUCAUCGCGCCACCGUGGUGAUCCCGGUAUCGCAGAGGCCGAACAGAGCUCCGUGUUCUCGAGACCUGGUCGCUGUACUCACGGGAGUCGGGUAAUGCGGCUUUAAUGCUCGAAGAUGCAACAUGAGACGCGCGUCCUUCCUACCGACUUUAAACGAAUUCGAUCAGAGAGGAAAAGAAAAGAUUUCUCUGCCUCUAGGAGAAUUUUACAGAGAAUCAUCUGCGAGUAUCUGUUAUAACGAUGCAUAAAGAUCAACCUUUACCUCUUGCUUAACCCCGAUUUCUGUUCCAUAAGAUAAUGCAACCGUGGAAAGAGAAACGACGGUACCGAGCGUGAGUUAUCUUCGCAAGUUCACGUCAUCUGAUUCGUCGGCCUAUAAUCGUUACGUACGAAAAACUGGUUUCCCAGAGAGUCUGAUGGUCGCUUUAUCUAACGACUAUCUUUUAUCAGAUAGUCCGUGGCCGCGGCUCCGAAAAGUGACCGAGCAUUCUCUCGGUUUUCGUUGGUACCGGUACGGUCAAAAGAACUUGUAUGUGGAACUAUGAGAACGCUGUCUACCGCUUCUUUGGUGCAUCUUUUAACGGGCGUCAAGAUAAGAAUCCUUGACACCCAUCCUCAUCUUCUGCACUGAUUGAGUGUAGCACGUAGGAAAGGACGCUCAACGACGAGUGCGUCUCUCGUUGUUUUAAUUUAAGGCUCGACGAGUUCCUGCCUGUCGUAUCUGUAAAUAAUAUCAGUUCUCACCGUGAAUCCUUCUGUUCGCCUCAUUCUUGAAUCGGUGGCCGUUGGCGGGCAGCUUGGAUCGCUGUAAUUUCUUUAUGACCUUAAAGCGAUACGUUCUGAAUGCUAAACGAUGCGUAUGCCUUCGUUGGCGUGCCGUUUAGGACGAAACGAAACGAAACGAAACGAAAUGAAACGAACGAAAUUCACUGGUACAUUAUGCUUUUCAGAGAAUAUUUUUUUGUACUUUGUGUGAGCAGCCACGUACGUGACGGCCACGUUUACAGCGCUUACCCCUCUUGGAAUAACAUUUCCGCCGCAUUACAAAUUCCUCUUUGUCGACUGUACGGGCUGACGGAAGUCGACUAUCGUGCUGGUUCUCGACCCUGACCCAACGAUCGUACUGCUGAAAUCCCUGGACAAAUAUACCCUUCAGUUACGUAGGUAUCCUUCUUCGCUAUUUCAAUUUGCUUUCCUUUAAAAAUUGAUUCCGAAGAGAUCGGAAUAAAAAGAUUUUCAACAGGUAGUAUCGUGAUUUAACUCCUUGUCUUAUGAUUUUUUUAUGAACGAAGAUGUAAUUAUUUCUAAAAUAAAACGUUGAAAUAUUUUACGUAGUUUGUAGUCGCUGUUCUGGAAUUUGGAAUUUGGAGUUAAAACUGGGCUAGAAUAAAAUUAAAGCCCUAAGUUUCAUCAAAUUAGAUUUCAUCCACGAUCUAGAUAAUAAACAUAAUUUGCUACUACGAGACAAAGGGUCGUUUCCGCCCCUAUUUCACCGUACUAUUUCCUAUCUAAGGUUGUUAGUCCCCUCACAAACAGUUGAGAAACACGAUCCCUCGAUUGUCUCCAGUUAUGUAGCGCGUUAACAUUUCGUAGCAUGUUGCUGCGUAUUUAUAGCGAGACACCGCACCGGUCUCUUCGGUAUAAACGUCUGCAAGUGCCUUCAGAACGUAUCUAAUAAUUCGUGGCGUUAGCGACAACAUCCGAGGUGAUUAUGAUACAUUUGUUUGACUCGUCGAUAUUCGACGACCUGGUAGUCGAGGGAAAACCUGACUCAGAGCUGUGAGCUCUUCGUAACAGGUGUUGGACGACGAUGGCGCGGUGUUUGGCUCGCUUCAACAGCUUCCAGAUACGUAUCUCGGUUCAUCGUCAUAACCAAAGUGUCUACGGGGUUCCUUCUUACAAAUUACGACGCCCGCGGCCGUGGCAUAUCUUAAUCUUGUCAGUAAACCGGCUCUCGCUUGAUGCUUUCGAUUGAUGAGACCUGGCAAACCGUACUAGUAAUACCUAGCAGCUACAUCGUCGAAUCGCAGCCACGAUCCGCAAUACCUCUCGUCAUUACCGAUCGAAGAAAAUCCCUGGUAUAAUUUUUAAGAUUCUGCAGUUUGAUAUGUUUCUACGUGAAAUCGAUCUUUGAAGAACUAGAUCUCUUGAAAAUUCACUAACACCGAAGGGAUAUCCUAAUGCUAAUUACUCGCGUUACUAUGUGGUCGAAUGAAUUCUAGCUAUCAAUUUUUCGAUAAAAAUUCGUCAACAACAUUUAUACGCUUUUAAAGUCUAUGUUAUAACACAUAGGUUACAUAGCGUCAUAAAUU